rnacentral:rRNA from 1 species
ACUACGGGAGGCAGCAGUGGGGGAUAUUGCACAAUGGGGGGAACCCUGAUGCAGCGACGCCGCGUGGGUGAAGAAGCGCCUCGGCGCGUAAAGCCCUGUCAGCAGGGAAGAAAAUGACGGUACCUGAAGAAGAAGCCACGGCUAACUACGUGCCAGCAGCCGCGGUAAUACGUAGGGGGCAAGCGUUAUCCGGAUUUACUGGGUGUAAAGGGGGCGCAGACGGCGAUGCAAGCCAGGAGUGAAAGCCCGGGGCCCAACCCCGGGACUGCUCUUGGAACUGCAUGGCUGGAGUGCAGGAGGGGCAGGCGGAAUUCCUGGUGUAGCGGUGAAAUGCGUAGAUAUCAGGAGGAACACCGGUGGCGAAGGCGGCCUGCUGUACUGCAACUGACGUUGAGGCCCGAAAGCGUGGGGAGCAAACAGGAUUAGAUACCCUUGUAGUC